rnacentral:tRNA from 1 species
UCCCCGGGCUCGACGGCGGGCGCCCGUUCCCGCUCGUGCUGGGGAUGGAGGCCGCGGGCACGGUUCUCGCCCUGGGGGA